rnacentral:rRNA from 1 species
UUUUAAUCCAACAUCGAGGUCGCAAACUUUUUCAUCAAUAAGAACUCUCCGAAAAAAUUACGCUGUUAUCCCUAAGGUAAAUUAAUCUUAUAAUCAAUAUAACUGGAUCAAAACAUAAAUUAAUGUUAAAAAUUAAUGAAAGUUAAAUAAAUUUCACUGUCGCCCCAACAAAACUAUCUAAUAAAUAAAAUUAUUAUAAAACCAAAAAAUAAACCUAUAUAUAGAAAGUAAAUUUCUAUAGGGUCUUCUCGUCCAAUACAAAUAUUUCAGCUUUUUAACUAAAAUAUUAAAUUCAAUUAAAUUAAUUAAAGAAAGUUAAAUUCUCAUCAAACCAUUCAUACUAGCCUCCAAUUAAAAGACAAAUGAUUAUGCUACCUUCGUACAGUUAAAAUACUGCAGCCUUUUAAUUUAAAUAAAUCAAUGGGCAGGCCUGAUCUUAUAUUAAUUAACAAAAGACCAUGUUUUUGUUAAACAGGCG